rnacentral:rRNA from 1 species
UAGGGAAUCUUCGGCAAUGGACGAAAGUCUGACCGAGCAACGCCGCGUGAGUGAAGAAGGUUUUCGGAUCGUAAAACUCUGUUGUUAGAGAAGAACAAGGACGUUAGUAACUGAACGUCCCCUGACGGUAUCUAACCAGAAAGUCACGGCUAACUACGUGCCAGCAGCCGCGGUAAUACGUAGGUGGCAAGCGUUGUCCGGAUUUAUUGGGCGUAAAGCGAGCGCAGGCGGUUUCUUAAGUCUGAUGUGAAAGCCCCCGGCUCAACCGGGGAGGGCCAUUGGAAACUGGGAGACUUGAGUGCAGAAGAGGAGAGUGGAAUUCCAUGUGUAGCGGUGAAAUGCGUAGAUAUAUGGAGGAACACCAGUGGCGAAGGCGGCUCUCUGGUCUGUAACUGACGCUGAGGCUCGAAAGCGUGGGGAGCAAACAGG